GAUGAACGCUGGCGGCGUGCCUAAUACAUGCAAGUCGAGCGAAUGGAUUAAGAGCUUGCUCUUAUGAAGUUAGCGGCGGACGGGUGAGUAACACGUGGGUAACCUGCCCAUAAGACUGGGAUAACUCCGGGAAACCGGGGCUAAUACCGGAUAACAUUUUGAACCGCAUGGUUCGAAAUUGAAAGGCGGCUUCGGCUGUCACUUAUGGAUGGACCCGCGUCGCAUUAGCUAGUUGGUGAGGUAACGGCUCACCAAGGCAACGAUGCGUAGCCGACCCGGGAGGGGGAUCGGCCACCCUGGGACUGAGACACGGCCCAGACUCCUACGGGAGGCAGCAGUAGGGAAUCUUCCGCAAUGGACGAAAGUCUGACGGAGCAACGCCGCGUGAGUGAGGAAGGCUUUCGGGUCGUAAAACUCUGUUGUUAGGGAAGAACAAGUGCUAGUUGAAUAAGCUGGCACCUUGACGGUACCUAACCAGAAAGCCACGGCUAACUACGUGCCAGCAGCCGCCGUAA
rnacentral:rRNA from 1 species